UCUCAGAAGCUGUCAGUGGUGGGAAAGCUUUUGAAGCAGUCUGAAAUGCCUUUGCACCCUGGUGGCUGUGUGGGUAUGAGUUGUUACAGCUGAGAUGCAGCUAUUUGCUGGGUUGAAGUCGCAGUGACCCUGAACUUGUUGGGUUAAUGGAGAGUUUUGUCCCUGCAUAAGUUUGUAAUCUAGCGGUCUGACUUGCGCAUACAUUCCUACUGUACAUUAAAAACUGGGGCCGGGAGAGGCUGUGCCACUGGAAGCAGCUUCUGGCUGGGAGAGCUGUACUUAACCAAGAAACAGCCCAGAGCUGCCUUUGUGCACUUUCAAGUAAGUGGGCAGAAUUAUUUUCAAGAUUUUGAAAUGUUAUCUUGUGUUGUAGAUGUUCUCUGUAGAAAACAUGUUUUCCUGGUGAGGAAGAUGGAUCUUUGUGGGGCUGGCUUGUCAUCGUGCGCAGAAUCAAGCCUGGCAGGUGGAUAAAAACAGAGCUGGAAGCUUAAGGUGUGCAGGGAAACGUGGGGAAGAGCUGUUCGUUGUGCUGCCCGUGCCAUUACCUGCUCCGUUCAGCAGUGCCAGGGAUGCCCACGGCUGUCCCCGAGCUCUCCAGGAGCGGUGCCUGCCCUUCUGCAGCUCCCCAGAGGCUGUUAGCAGCUAAAGGACCCUGGCAUUUAAUACAUUUCGUUUGCCUGGCUGACUUACACGCCCCGUUUUUUUCAACUCUGACCUUCUCUCUGUCCUACAGAUAGUGUAGACAAGUAAUGACAACCUUACGGGAGCUCUCUCUGCGUUCAGAAACUAUUUCCUACCUCAGCCCUUCGUUCCUGUGCCUGUGUCUUAGGCCGGAUUUCACCAAUGCUCCUGGAGGAAAGGGAUGUUCCUUUUAGCUUCCAGCCCGGAUUUCUUAAGCUUCCUAAAGAACUGUCAUCCUGUGAGUCUUUAAGUUGAUGCUUUCUCUGUUUGCUUGAUGCGUGCCAAGAAGGAGCGGGAGCUUAUCGCGACGCUCUGUGACCAGUGUGUCCUCAGUAUUCCCGAGAAGCCCCUACAGGUCACUUUUCUGUUUGCCUUCUUACCACUGCUGCCUUUUGCUCUGUCCUUUCCCUGUUAGUUGCUUUUUGGGCAUCCAAUUAAAAAGCUCAUCAAGAAGGAAUUCACCCUGCAGUCAGUACCGUGGUAUGUAGCCGCCUUGUUUGUGCCCCGCGUUGUUGGCGGUUCCUUUCUGGCUCGGCUCUGUCUUCUUCAGCCUCUGGGGACCUGUGAUUAGGCCGGGGCACUGGGAUUUGCCUCGUGCUUACAGCCAGCCUUGUGGGUGAAGCCGUGUGGUGGUGGUGUGGCUGGGGAGCCGUGGGUUACGCCGGAGGGCAGCCGGCCCCAAACGCUGAAGCGGGAGCUUUGCGGUGCCUCUGACUUCUCCACUGCCAUGCUCCCUUCCUCCAGGGCCUCCUCUCCCAUCCCGUUGCAUUCAGGCUUUGACAGAGUGAAUAAUGUGCUUUUUACUGAAGCUCAACACUUCUCCCUGCUCGCAUCGGCGCCGUGCGGGGCCUGGUCCAUGCAUGUGCCCUCGCCCUGCCUGAGCACGCCUGGAUCCGGAGGCCUCGUGUCGCUGCUCUCGGCGGUGUCACGAGGGAACGGGGGCGCUGGGUGGGCCCCCGCCUAAUUUUUAUAGUCUCCCUGAGGCAGAAAGCGCACUCUCGAUAUAGCUGCUGAAGCGUGCUGCCCUUGGACCUCGUGUGGAGAGGGGAAUGCUCCCUCGCACUGCACACAUCAGAAACCAGAGCUCCUGGCCAUUCAUCCCUGCAGAUGCUUUCGUUGUUUUCACGGUUGAAUUUUUUUUUUUGCACUUUUUUCAGCAAAGCUGUGUUUAGAUCUGGCCCUCCAUCCUCUGUCAUCAGUGCCAGCAUGCAGAGCCCAUGCUGUAGGAGCUCUGCUCCAUUGCAUGUAAUCAGCUGGAAAUGCUCCCGUAAUGGGAGCAGAUUGCAGAGCGAGUGCCUGUAAUGGUUUUAAGAAUAAAGGGCAGCGUUUGCACUCAAA